GUGUCAGCAGCCGCGGUAAGACAGAAGGUGCAAGCGUUACUCGGAAUUACUGGGCGUAAAGCGUCUGUAGGUUUUUUGUCACGUCUGGCAGUAAAUUGCGGGGCUCAACCCCGCAGGUCUGUUGGAUACGAGCGAAAUAGAGUCACUCAGAGGCAUCUGGAAUGUCAUGUGUAGGGGUAAAAUCCGUAGAUACAUGAUGGAACGCCAAAAGCGAAAGCAGGAUGCUAGGGGUGUACUGACACUCAGAGACGAAAGCGUGGGGAGCAAAGGGGAUUAGAUACCCUUGUAGUCC
rnacentral:rRNA from 1 species